rnacentral:ncRNA from 5 species
AACAUUCAUUGCUGUCGCUGGGUU